UCACUUGCCCGCUUUCUGCGCCUUCUGUGCGGACUUGGUGACCUUGCCGGCGCCGCCGCUCUUCUUCUCCACGUUCUUGAUGACGCCCACGGCCACAGUCUGCCUCAUGUCACGCACGGCGAAGCGGCCUGCGGAGAGAGAUACAUAAACUGCGGGGGCGCCCAGGAUGCAGUGUGCAGGACUCCCUGGGUCCUCCUGUGACUCUGCGGUUCUAACACUGAAGAGGCAUCUGGUCCCAACCCUUCCGACAGGCCUGCCCACAAUGGCAGUGUGGCUACUACAGAAAUACCUCGAUGAACAAGCGACUGGGAGAGGGAGCACUACUCUCUGUCUUCUGGGAGCACGGGGGUGGUAGCAUUAUGGGGUGACAGAGAAGAGCCUGCGGCUGCAAGCCUCAGCAUGAUAUUCUCAUUCCUCUCCCUUUGCUUGUUCCAUAUUUUCCUUUGGUUUUUAUUGACUAAUGACUUGUAAUUCUCA